rnacentral:rRNA from 1 species
AUUGAACGCUGGCGGCAUGCCUUACACAUGCAAGUCGAACGGUAACAGCACUUCGGUGGCUGACGAGUGGCGGACGGGUGAGUAAUACAUCGGAACGUGCCCGAUCGUGGGGGAUAACUACUCGAAAGAGUGGCUAAUACCGCAUACGAUCUACGGAUGAAAGCGGGGGAUCGCAAGACCUCGCGCGGACGGAGCGGCCGAUGGCAGAUUAGGUAGUUGGUGGGAUAAAAGCUUACCAAGCCGACGAUCUGUAGCUGGUCUGAGAGGACGACCAGCCACACUGGGACUGAGACACGGCCCAGACUCCUACGGGAGGCAGCAGUGGGGAAUUUUGGACAAUGGGGGAAACCCUGAUCCAGCCAUGCCGCGUGCAGGAUGAAGGCCUUCGGUUGUAACUGCUUUGUACGGAACGAAAGACUCUUCUAAUACAGAGGGUCCAUGACGGUACCGUAAGAAUAAGCACCGGCUAACUACGUGCCAGCAGCCGCGGUAAACU